rnacentral:tRNA from 1 species
GCCUGAAUGGCUCAGUUGGUUAAGCACCCGACUUCAGCUCAGGUCAUGAUCUCAUGGUUCACGGGUUCGAGUCCCAUGUCCGGCU